rnacentral:misc_RNA from 1 species
GAAAUGCGAUAAGUAAUGUGAAUUGCAGAAUUCAGUGAAUCAUCGAAUCUUUGAACGCACAUUGCGCCCGCCAGUAUUCUGGCGGGCAUGCCUGUUCGAGCGUCAUUUCAACCAUCAAGCCCCGCGCUUGUGUUGGGGACCUGCGGCUGCCGCAUGCCCUGAAAACCAGUGGCGGGCUCGCUGUCACACCGGGCGUAGUAGAUUUUAUCUCGCUCAGGGCGUGCUGCGGGUUCCGGCCGUUAAAAAGCCUUUUUUACCCAAGGUUGACCUCGGAUCAGGUAGGAAGACCCGCUGAACUUAAGC